AGGCGCUUUAAAGAUUUUAACGAUCAGCUGAAGCCAGACCUGACGUGUUCUAGAGCGGAGGAACGGCUAAAAUACCUCCAGUUCUUCAGAGAACGCAGCCAGGUCUUCCCUCCACAGAUCCGAUGGAUUCUUUCCCUUCAGGGUGUUCAGUUCUGUCAUCUGGAGCAGAAAAGAGCUCCUCCUUCUUCUCUUUGGUCAGGAACCACAUGGGCAUGCUGAGCAGGUAGUUGUAGUCCGGCCCGCUGCUCUGGUCCUCCUUCUCUUCCUCCUCCUGCUGCUCUUCAGCCUCCACUUCUUCUUCAUCCUAAGAAACGAUAAGUCUGAAAGUUAGCGCCGGUUUUCCACCCGACUGUACGGAUGAGUAACCUAUGAGCGGCGUCCUGCCUUCUUCUGCGCCUCCUUCCACGCUUUGACGGGGUCGGAGUCGUAGCCCAUCUGCUGCAGCAUCUUGAUCAACACCUUCUUAGGUUUGUUCUCUGAGAAGAGAAGCAGGGGGAGGUUUUGACUCAAAUAUUCAACAAAUGGCAGCAGUCAAUAAAAGUUUUACUGCUGUUUUAAAUGAAGUUGAAGUUUUUUUUCUCAUAAAAAUACAGAAGCUGAAGAAAAAAAAAAAAAAAAGAAAAAACAA